rnacentral:rRNA from 1 species
AUGCUAGCCACCUCCUUUCCAGUCAUAAAAAGCUCAUCAUGUGAGCUAAUGAAGCACUUGGAAAAGGCCCUCUACAUGAGCCCUCAUGGUUGCAGAAGAAGAAGAGUAGGAGCACUUGAAGAAAUGCUUAAGAGGAGACAGAUGGAGAGAUUGCCUGCGCUGCACCUGGCAGUGGUGUCCCUGCUCGGCUUCUGCUGCCUCAUCCAUGCUUCGAGGGCUGCUAUUUCAUUCCCACCUGGUAAUCGUCCCAUGCCAUCAGCGGCCCCGAGGGAGCAGCUGCAGGAGACCGAGACAAUCCCAGAUUCCAGUGGAGCAGAUGGUCAGGUCGUCGUAGCGGGAGAGGUCGACCGCGGUGCUGUCAGCAAGAGGAUGGAGAUGGAGAUGCAACUGGAGGACUACCCGGGGUCCGGCCCCAACGACCACCACUCGCCGUGGUGGCGGCAGGAGAGGAGGAAUUGA